CCUACGGGUGGCAGCAGUGAGGAAUAUUGGUCAAUGGACGAGAGUCUGAACCAGCCAAGUAGCGUGAAGGAUGACUGCCCUAUGGGUUGUAAACUUCUUUUAUAUGGGAAUAAAAUGUUCCAAGUGUGGGAUUUUGUCUGUACCAUAUGAAUAAGGAUCGGCUAACUCCGUGCCAGCAGCCGAGGUAAUACGGAGGAUCCGAGCGUUAUCCGGAUUUAUUGGGUUUAAAGGGAGCGUAGGUGGAUUGUUAAGUCAGUUGUGAAAGUUUGCGGCUCAACCGUAAAAUUGCAGUUGAUACUGGCAGUCUUGAGUACAGAAGAGGUGGGCGGAAUGCGUGGUGUAGCGGUGAAAUGCUUAGAUAUCACGAAGAACUCCGAUUGCGAAGGCAGUUCACUGGACUGCAACUGACACUGAGGCUCGAAAGUGUGGGUAUCAAACAGGAUUAGAUACCCUUGUAGUC
rnacentral:rRNA from 1 species